UCCACGCCCUACCCCUGGGGAGUACGGUCGCAAGAUUAAAACUCAAAGGAAUAGACGGGGACCCGCACAAGCGGUGGAGCAUGUGGUUUAAUUCGAAAAUACACGAAGAACCUUACCUAGCCUUGAUAUCCUUGGAAUCCUAUAGAGAUAUGGGAGUGCUAGUUUACUAGAACCAAGUGACAGGUGCUGCACGGCUGUCGUCAGCUCGUGUCGUGAGAUGUUGGGUUAAUCCC
rnacentral:rRNA from 1 species